rnacentral:rRNA from 1 species
ACGGGGGGUGCAAGCGUUGUUCGGAAUCAUUGGGCGUAAAGAGCGUGUAGGCGGCUGGAUAAGUCAGAUGUGAAAGCCCUGGGCUUAACCCAGGAAGUGCAAUUGAAACUGUUCAGCUUGAGUAAGGUUGAAGAGAGUGGAAUUCCUGGUGUAGCGGUGAAAUUCUUAGAUAUGACGCAGAACACCGAUGGCGAAGGCAGCUCUCUAGAUUUAAACUGACGCUCAUGCGCGAAAGCGUGGGUAGCAAACAG